GACGAACGCUGGCGGCGUGCUUAACACAUGCAAGUCGAACGGAAAGGCCUUUUCGGAGGUACUCGAGUGGCGAACGGGUGAGUAACACGUGGGUGAUCUGCCCUGCACUCUGGGAUAAGCCUGGGAAACUGGGUCUAAUACCGGAUAGGACCGCACUUUAGUGUGUGUGGUGGAAAGUUUUUUCGGUGUAGGAUGAGCCCGCGGCCUAUCAGCUUGUUGGUGGGGUAAUGGCCUACCAAGGCGGCGACGGGUAGCCGGACUGAGAGGCUGGUCGGCCACAUUGGGGCUGAGGUACGGCCCAGACUCCUACGGGAGGCAGCAGUGGGGAAUAUUGCACAAUGGGCGCAAGCCUGAUGCAGCGACGCCGCGUGGGGGAUGACGGCCUUCGGGUUGUAAACUCCUUUCGCCAGGGACGAAGCGUUUUGUGACGGUACCUGGAGAAGAAGCACCGGCUAACUACGUG
rnacentral:rRNA from 1 species